UAGAGUUUGAUCCUGGCUCAGGACGAACGCUGGCGGCGUGCCUAAAACAUGCAAGUCGAACGGUCCGAGCAAUCGGAUAGUGGCGAACGGCGGAGUAAUACAUAAGCAACGUGCCCCGAAGACCGGGAUAGUCGCUGGAAACGGCGGGUAAUACCGGAUGUGGCCGUCCGAGGGCAUCCUCGGGCGAUUAAAGGGUUUUUCGCUUCGGGAGCGGCUUGUGGCCUAUCAGCUAGUUGGUGGGGUAACGGCCUACCAAGGCUACGACGGGUAGGGGGUCUGAGAGGAUGAUCCCCUCGAGUGGGACUGAGACACGGCCCACACACCUACGGGUGGCAGCAGUUGGGAAUCUUGCACAAUGGGGGAAACCCUGAUGCAGCGACGCCGCGUGGAGGAUGAAGGAUCUAGGUCUGUAAACUCCUUUUAUCGGGAAAGACUUAGGACGGUACCCGAUGAAUAAGCACCGGCUAACUACGUGCCAGCAGCCGCGGUAAGACGUAGGGUGCAAGCGUUGUCCGGAUUUACUGGGCGUAAAGGGCGCGUAGGCGGCCUGCUAAGUGUGGUGUGAAAUCUCCAGGGCUCAACCCGGAAACUGCACCGCAUACUGGCUGGCUAGAGGAAUGCAGAGGUAGCUGGAAUUCCUGGUGUAGCGGUGACAUGCAUUGAUAUCAGGAGGAACACCCAAGGCGAAGGCAGGCUACUGGGCAUUAUCUGACGCUGAGGCGCGAAAGCGUGGGGAGCAAACAGAAUUAGAUACUCUGGUAGUCCACGCCCUAAACGAUGGAUACUAGGCGUAAGAGGUAUAGACCCCUCUUGUGCCGCAGCUAACGCAUUAAGUAUCCCGCCUGGGGACUACGGCCGCAAGGUUGAAACUCAAAUGAAUUGACGGGGACCCGCACAAGCGGUGGAGCAUGUGGAUUAAUUCGAUAUUAACCGAAGAACCUUACCCAGGUUUGACAUCGAAGGAAAUCCUGUGAAAGCAGGCCCUCUUCCCACAAGGAAGACCUGAAGACACUUGUUGCAUGGCUGUCGUCAGCUCGUGCCGUGAGGUGUUUGGUUAAGUCCAGCAACGAGCGCAACCCUCGUCCUAUGUUGCCAGCGGGUAAUGCCGGGAACUCAUGGGAGACCGCCGGUGUCAAGCCGGAGGAAGGUGGGGAUGAUGUCAAGUCAGCAUGGCAGUUACGCCUGGGGCUUCACACAUGCUACAAUGGGCGCAACAAAGGGCAGCGAUACCGUGAGGUGGAGCCAAUCCCAAAAAUACGCCCUCAGUUCAGAUUGUAGUCUGCAACUCGACUACAUGAAGGCGGAAUCGCUAGUAAACGCAGGUCAGCUAUACUGCGUUGAAUACGUUCCCGGGUCUUGUACACACCGCCCGUCAAGUCACCUGAAUUGUCUUCACCCGAAGUCCGUGGCCCAACCGCAAGGAGGGAGCGGCCGAAGGUGAGGGGAGUAAGGGGGACUAAGUCGUAACAAGGUAACCA
rnacentral:rRNA from 1 species